AUUGAACGCUGGCGGCAUGCCUUACACAUGCAAGUCGAACGGUAACAGGUCUUCGGAUGCUGACGAGUGGCGAACGGGUGAGUAAUACAUCGGAACGUGCCUAGUAGUGGGGGAUAACUACUCGAAAGAGUGGCUAAUACCGCAUGAGAUCUACGGAUGAAAGCAGGGGAUCGCAAGAACUUGUGCUACUAGAGCGGCCGAUGGCAGAUUAGGUAGUUGGUGGGAUAAAAGCUUACCAAGCCGACGAUCUGUAGCUGGUCUGAGAGGACGAUCAGCCACACUGGGACUGAGACACGGCCCAGACUCCUACGGGAGGCAGGAGUGGGGAAUUUUGGACGAUGGGCGAAAGCCUGAUCCAGCAAUGCCGCGUGCAGGAUGAAGGCCUUCGGGUUGUAAACUGCUUUUGUACGGAACGAAAAGCCCCGGGUUAAUACCCUGGGGUCAUGACGGUACCGUAAGAAUAAGCACCGGCUAACUACGUGCCAGCCGCCGCCGUAA
rnacentral:rRNA from 1 species